UUUGCAUUGUAUUAUGUAGUGCUAUGUAUUUUAUUUAUUGUGUUUUGUUUCCUGUUUGGACCCCAGGAAAAGAAUUGGGGAUCCUAAUAAGAUACAAAAUAUUUAAUACUAAACUGAGCUAAGUUAGACUUAACUACACUGACUGAACGGAUUAGGACUGAAAUGAACAUAAUCAUUUUACUGAACUGAGUUGGAUUGAACUAGACUGAAUGACUAAAAUGAAUUGAGUUGGACAGCACCUGUUACAUCUGCUCCUGCCAAGCCCUCUACUUUUCAUCCUAUGUCUCCCUAACCUGCUGCCACUCCCCCAGUGCUCUCUCCAUCUCUCUCUCUGAGUGGGUGUAUGUGAUUGUGUGAGUGAUUGUGUGAGUGGAAACAGGUGCUGGAGGCAGAGAAGAUCCCCACCAGCUGCAACCUGUUCCAUAAUCAAGACCUCUACAAAAGCCCUGCCACUUCCAUGCUGCCAGAUCGUAGCAUCUGCUCAUUCCAUCAGUACUGACUCUGGUCCCGGGCUCCAGUCACUUGUCUCGUCAGUCCUGCUUCCCUGUCCUGGAGCCCCGCUCUACUGCUUCCAUGGAUUCUGCUCCGGCCCUGCUUACCCUGCCCCUACUCCCCUUGCCUCAGCCUCAAUUCCUGGUUCCCUACUACCCACCUGAGCUUCCCUUGGCCUGCACCACAGCUGUUCAAUAAUCCCAUGUAGGCUAGCCUACCUGCACUAUCUGCCAGCUGUUGGCUAGAGAGCACGUGCCAAGACCAGCGAGGCACAGUUGCUAUUUAGCACAAUAGUUUUUAUGACAUAACCAUCGGUAGAGUUGAAAAUAUUUUCUUUAUGCAGUUUUUAGAAUAUUCACAUGAAAAUAUGUUGCCAAUUGGAUGGAAACCUAGCUGGUUUCUCCCUAGGUAACUAGGUCCAGUAAUUUUUGAAGUUUAAACAGCUAACAUUCUCUAAAGAACACAGUUACUGACACUUGUUUGGAACAUUGAACGGAGAGGUCAACCAAUGGACACUCACCUGGUCUUUCUCUGGUUUGUCGGAGAUGUCGUUCAUGCUGCUUGAGGCCAGGUUCCGAUGUGUGGUGGCUGGACUGCCUAUGAGUGAACAACAGCCUUGAAGGUUAACAACCUACUCUGCUGUUAAAGACUGGACUGAAUGGAGACAGCAAAACACACAGUGUACCAGCCUACACUUCAAAUUGCAGGGUGGAGAUACUGCUGAAGGCAAUACAUCUGUGAACAUAAAUCUGAUGCCACUGUAGUGAUUCAACAGGUUGUUACCUCGUUCCUCUGGAUAGAUAGAGGGGGACAGUCCAUUUGAUGCACCCAGAGGAAAAUGGCAUUUUCAAUGUUGUCACUGGGGAAAAAUACCUUCUCAAAAAGUAGGGUGUGAAUAACAUUCAGACUUGGUGUUAAUCUGUGUGGACUAAGUAUACUGAAGUGUGGACUGGGUAGAAUGGACUAAAUUUGGAUGACAACUGUCAGAAUUGAAUUCCAGUCAUCUAAGAUCUAUCAUGGAGGACAGAUAAGCGGCUCUAUUCUGGCCUAAUGAGGCAGAUUCCUCAUGAAAGAAAAUAACUUCUGUGUGAUAGGAUACAGUGGGGGAAAGGGGACAGCUGGUUGUUUGGCUCUAUGGACCAACAGUAGUUCCAGAAUUCUAAUGAGAACAUACUUGGCCAGUCUAUGAUGCUGGAGAUCUACAAUACAGUAGCAUGACUUACUAAGCCAGUCCAUGCUGGGGCUUCGUUGGGUCUGCAGCUCCUCCAUUGAGGCACGGACUGUUAGACAAGGCACUGAGUUUUCAAGCGGACUACGGGCUUAAAUGGCAGAACCCAACCCACGGAAGACAGAAGUAGAGGGAGCAGGAGGAAUGGAAGAAAGGAAAGAAAGAAGGAGGGAGGGAGAAAAAUAGUGGAUUAAUCAAAGGGCAAGUGUUAGUUAGACAGACAGAUGCAGUGGAAUUAUACAGUGUUAGUUAGACAGAAUCAAAUGAGUAAGGGUAGGGUUAAAAGAGAAGCAGCUAGAACAGGAUGUGAUAGAUUAACUGGUGAAGCAAAGUGAAAGAUGGUUAUCUGGAAAGAACACAGUUUCGGGUUGGACAUACUUAGUUACAUUGGAUCUGUAAUGUUAGACCACAAUACUGACCUCCCAAGCAAAAGGCAGUAACUGCUCAUUUGGUCAAAAAUGAGUUAGUCAUUUUUGCUACAUUAUAUAAACGCUUAAUCUCAUGGACAAGUAUCCUGCCUCUAUUGUAUUGUGUUCAGGAGAACAUGGGGGUGAUGUUAGCAGUAACUGUAUAAAGUUACUGUGAAACCAACCUGGUAUUAUAUAGUGUAUUUUAUUGAAAUCCAAAGCUAGAUGAUACACACAAAUCGAUGUGAAAAAUUCUACCAAAUAAUUAAAAUGUCCUUUUCACUACUACAACAACAUAUCAAUAAAACAGGUCGAUGACUUCCAUGUUCCAUUAACCAAUCAUUGUCAUAAAUGUCAGAGCAGGUAAUAAAUGAUUAUUUACAGACCCAUUUACAGACCUGGGCAACUGAUCACCUUCCAUGUUAAAUACCAUGAAAUCUGUUCCAACCAUAUAUUUAUUUGAUUUAUCAUUGAUUAAUAUAGUCAAACAAACAUCUGUGUGUGAUGAUGAAUUCAGUGUUAUGAUUUUACAGCAAUGAAAGAUUAAAUGAAAAGUUCAACUCCAGAACAGCCUCAGCUUAACUAAAUUAAUUCUACAUCUAAACUGAUGUGAAUGACUUGGUUCUGCUGUUCUGCAAUAGAGCAUCCAUGUUCGAUAAGGAACUAUGUUCAGUACAGUUCACUUGAGGUUUAGGACUUUUCGUUCCAUUUCCUAAAUGU